AAAAUGCACAUACUGUGAGCUCGAUGAGUAGGGCGGGACACGUGGUAUCCUGUCUGAAUAUGGGGGGACCAUCCUCCAAGGCUAAAUACUCCUGACUGACCGAUAGUGAACCAGUACCGUGAGGGAAAGGCGAAAAGAACCCCGGCGAGGGGAGUGAAAAAGAACCUGAAACCGUGUACGUACAAGCAGUGGGAGCACGCUUCGGCGUGUGACUGCGUACCUUUUGUAUAAUGGGUCAGCGACUUAUAUUCUGUAGCAAGGUUAACCGAAUAGGGGAGCCGAAGGGAAACCGAGUCUUAACUGGGCGUUAAGUUGCAGGGUAUAGACCCGAAACCCGGUGAUCUAGCCAUGGGCAGGUUGAAGGUUGGGUAACACUAACUGGAGGACCGAACCGACUAAUGUUGAAAAAUUAGCGGAUGACUUGUGGCUGGGGGUGAAAGGCCAAUCAAACCGGGAGAUAGCUGGUUCUCCCCGAAAGCUAUUUAGGUAGCGCCUCGUGAAUUCAUCUCCGGGGGUAGAGCACUGUUUCGGCAAGGGGGUCAUCCCGACUUACCAACCCGAUGCAAACUGCGAAUACCGGAGAAUGUUAUCACGGGAGACACACGGCGGGUGCUAACGUCCGUCGUGAAGAGGGAAACAACCCAGACCGCCAGCUAAGGUCCCAAAGUCAUGGUUAAGUGGGAAACGAUGUGGGAAGGCCCAGACAGCCAGGAUGUUGGCUUAGAAGCAGCCAUCAUUUAAAGAAAGCGUAAUAGCUCACUGGUCGAGUCGGCCUGCGCGGAAGAUGUAACGGGGCUAAACCAUGCACCGAAGCUGCGGCAGCGACACUAUGUGUUGUUGGGUAGGGGAGCGUUCUGUAAGCCUGUGAAGGUGUACUGUGAGGUAUGCUGGAGGUAUCAGAAGUGCGAAUGCUGACAUAAGUAACGAUAAAGCGGGUGAAAAGCCCGCUCGCCGGAAGACCAAGGGUUCCUGUCCAACGUUAAUCGGGGCAGGGUGAGUCGACCCCUAAGGCGAGGCCGAAAGGCGUAGUCGAUGGGAAACAGGUUAAUAUUCCUGUACUUGGUGUUACUGCGAAGGGGGGACGGAGAAGGCUAUGUUGGCCGGGCGACGGUUGUCCCGGUUUAAGCGUGUAGGCUGGUUUUCCAGGCAAAUCCGGAAAAUCAAGGCUGAGGCGUGAUGACGAGGCACUACGGUGCUGAAGCAACAAAUGCCCUGCUUCCAGGAAAAGCCUCUAAGCAUCAGGUAACAUCAAAUCGUACCCCAAACCGACACAGGUGGUCAGGUAGAGAAUACCAAGGCGCUUGAGAGAACUCGGGUGAAGGAACUAGGCAAAAUGGUGCCGUAACUUCGGGAGAAGGCACGCUGAUAUGUAGGUGAAGUCACUCGCUGAUGGAGCUGAAAUCAGUCGAAGAUACCAGCUGGCUGCAACUGUUUAUUAAAAACACAGCACUGUGCAAACACGAAAGUGGACGUAUACGGUGUGACGCCUGCCCGGUGCCGGAAGGUUAAUUGAUGGGGUUAGCGGUAACGCGAAGCUCUUGAUCGAAGCCCCGGUAAACGGCGGCCGUAACUAUAACGGUCCUAAGGUAGCGAAAUUCCUUGUCGGGUAAGUUCCGACCUGCACGAAUGGCGUAAUGAUGGCCAGGCUGUCUCCACCCGAGACUCAGUGAAAUUGAACUCGCUGUGAAGAUGCAGUGUACCCGCGGCAAGACGGAAAGACCCCGUGAACCUUUACUAUAGCUUGACACUGAACAUUGAGCCUUGAUGUGUAGGAUAGGUGGGAGGCUUUGAAGUGUGGACGCCAGUCUGCAUGGAGCCGACCUUGAAAUACCACCCUUUAAUGUUUGAUGUUCUAACGUUGACCCGUGAUCCGGGUUGCGGACAGUGUCUGGUGGGUAGUUUGACUGGGGCGGUCUCCUCCUAAAGAGUAACGGAGGAGCACGAAGGUUGGCUAAUCCUGGUCGGACAUCAGGAGGUUAGUGCAAUGGCAUAAGCCAGCUUGACUGCGAGCGUGACGGCGCGAGCAGGUGCGAAAGCAGGUCAUAGUGAUCCGGUGGUUCUGAAUGGAAGGGCCAUCGCUCAACGGAUAAAAGGUACUCCGGGGAUAACAGGCUGAUACCGCCCAAGAGUUCAUAUCGACGGCGGUGUUUGGCACCUCGAUGUCGGCUCAUCACAUCCUGGGGCUGAAGUAGGUCCCAAGGGUAUGGCUGUUCGCCAUUUAAAGUGGUACGCGAGCUGGGUUUAGAACGUCGUGAGACAGUUCGGUCCCUAUCUGCCGUGGGCGCUGGAGAACUGAGGGGGGCUGCUCCUAGUACGAGAGGACCGGAGUGGACGCAUCACUGGUGUUCGGGUUGUCAUGCCAAUGGCACUGCCCGGUAGCUAAAUGCGGAAGAGAUAAGUGCUGAAAGCAUCUAAGCACGAAACUUGCCCCGAGAUGAGUUCUCCCUGACUCCUUGAGAGUCCUGAAGGAACGUUGAAGACGACGACGUUGAUAGGCCGGGUGUGUAAGCGCAGCGAUGCGUUGAGCUAACCGGUACUAAUGAACCGUGAGGCUUAACCUU
rnacentral:rRNA from 1 species